rnacentral:lncRNA from 1 species
GAGAGAGCCUUCUAGCAAAGCACGCUGCCGAGAAGCAGCAUCUCUCUGAGGUCUACGAGGGGACCCAGUCACAGCUCAGGUCUGACCUGGAUAAGCUGAACAAGGAGGUGGCUGCUGUGCAGGAGUGCUACCUGGAAGUGUGCAGAGAGAAGGAUGAGCUGGAAUCCACUCUCAGGAAGACCAUGGAGAAGGCUCAGGAGCAGACGAGACAGCUUUUGGAAGACAGAGAAGAGCAUGUACGCAAACUGAAGCUAG